UCCCUAGUGGCUCAGAUGGUAAAGAAUCUGCCUGCAAUGCAGAAGACCCAGGUUUGAUCCCUGGGUCAGGAA
rnacentral:tRNA from 1 species